rnacentral:rRNA from 1 species
GGGUCAGUAGGUUGGUCGUGCCACCGGUACGUACUGGUCUCACUGAUUCCUCCUUCCUGAAGAACCGUAAUGCCAUUAAUUUGGUGUUGCGGGGAAACAGGACUGUUACUUUGAGAAAAUUAUAUUGUUUAAAGCAAGCUAACGCUUGAAUACAUUAGCAUGGAAUAAUGAAAUAGGACGAUCGAUCCUAUUUUGUUGGUUUCUAGGAUUGACGUA